CAGUAGCCGCGGGAAUACCGAGGAUGCAAGCGUUAUCCGGAAUGAUUGGGCGUAAAGCGCGCGCAGGCGGAUAGGUCAGUCUGUCUUAAAAGUUCGGGGCUUAACCCCGUGAUGAGAUGGAAACUGCCAAUCUAGAGUAUCGGAGAGGAAAGUGGAAUUCCUAGUGUAGCGGUGAAAUGCGUAGAUAUUAGGAAGAACACCAGUGGCGAAGGCGACUUUCUGGACGAAAACUGACGCUGAGGCGCGAAAGCCAGGGGAGCGAACGGGAUUAGAUACCCCUGUAGUCCCUGUCUCUUAUACA
rnacentral:rRNA from 1 species